CGGGUAUUGACCCCUGCUGUGCCGAAGUUAACGCAUUAAGUUCUCCGCCUGGGGAGUACGGCCGCAAGGCUAAAACUCAAAGGAAUUGACGGGGACCCGCACAAGCGGUGGAGCAUGUGGUUUAAUUCGACGCAACGCGAAGAACCUUACCUGGAUUUGACAUCCUCUGACCUCCAUGGAAACAUGGCUUUUUAUGCUUGCAUAAACAGAGUGACAGGUGCUGCAUGGCUGUCGUCAGCUCGUGUCGUGAGAUGUUGGGUUAAGUCCCGCAACGAGCGCAACCCUUGUUUUUAGUUGCUAUUAUUAAGUUAAGCACUCUAGAAAUACUGCCUCGGUUAACGGGGAGGAAGGUGGGGAUGACGUCAAGUCCUCAUGGCCUUUAUAUCCAGGGCUACACACGUGCUACAAUGGGCUGUACAAAGAGUUGCCACUUCGCGAGAAGGAGCUAAUCUCAAAAAGCAGUUCUCAGUUCGGAUUGGAGUCUGCAACCCGACUCCAUGAAGUUGGAAUCGCUAGUAAUCGUGGAUCAGCAUGCCACGGUGAAUACGUUCCCGGGUCUUGUACACACCGCCCGUCACACCACGAAAGUCGGCUGUACCAGAAGUUGCUGGGCUAACCCUUCGGGGAUGCAGGUACCUAAGGUACGGUCGGUAAUUGGAGUGAAGUCGUAACAAGGUAGCCG
rnacentral:rRNA from 1 species